GACGUAGGUGGCGAACGUUAUCCGGAAUCAUUGGGCGUAAAGGGUGCGUAGAUGGCCUGAUAAGUUAGCAGUGGGAAAUCGAGGCUCAACCUCGUGGAAGCUGGUAAUACUGUUAGGCUCGAGUGCAGGAGAAGUUAACGGAACUCCAUGUGGAGCGGUAAAAUGUGUAGAUAUAUGGAAGAACAUCAAUAACGGCGAAGGCAGUUAACUAUUCUGUUACUGACGUUUGAGGCACGAAAGCGUGGGGAGCAAAACGG
rnacentral:rRNA from 1 species